GAGUUUGAUCCUGGCUCAGGAUGAACGCUGACAGAAUGCUUAACACAUGCAAGUCUACUUGAACUUCGGUUUGGGUGGCGGACGGGUGAGUAACGCGUAAAGAACUUGCCUCACAGUUAGGGACAACAUUUGGAAACGAAUGCUAAUACCUGAUAUUAUGAUUUUAGGGCAUCCUAAGAUUAUGAAAGCUAUAUGCGCUGUGAGAGAGCUUUGCGUCCCAUUAGCUAGUUGGAGAGGUAACGGCUCACCAAGGCGAUGAUGGGUAGCCGGCCUGAGAGGGUGAACGGCCACAAGGGGACUGAGACACGGCCCUUACUCCUACGGGAGGCAGCAGUGGGGAAUAUUGGACAAUGGACCAAGAGUCUGAUCCAGCAAUUCUGUGUGCACGAUGAAGUUUUUCGGAAUGUAAAGUGCUUUCAGUUGGGAAGAAAAAAAUGACGGUACCAACAGAAGAAGUGACGGCUAAAUACGUGCCAGCAGCCGCGGUAAUACGUAUGUCACAAGCGUUAUCCGGAUUUAUUGGGCGUAAAGCGCGUCUAGGUGGUUAUGUAAGUCUGAUGUGAAAAUGCAGGGCUCAACUCUGUAUUGCGUUGGAAACUGUGUAACUAGAGUACUGGAGAGGUAAGCGGAACUACAAGUGUAGAGGUGAAAUUCGUAGAUAUUUGUAGGAAUGCCGAUGGGGAAGCCAGCUUACUGGACAGAUACUGACGCUAAAGCGCGAAAGCGUGGGUAGCAAACAGGAUUAGAUACCCUGGUAGUCCACGCCGUAAACG
rnacentral:rRNA from 1 species